rnacentral:misc_RNA from 1 species
GCUUAAUAUAGCCAAAAGCUUUCUGGUGUAGCAAUCGUUGUAGUUUUCAACAGAUAUGACUUGCUUAAUUUGUGUUAGUCUUGGAAGAUUCAUGGUAGUUUAUGCCAAGUCAAUAUAUGAAGAAACUAAUUUUCUCUUUGAAUUGAUUAUUAGUUUAUAAAUGUUAUAUUAAGUAAUGUUGUUUUUAUUUUGCACACUUGUAGAAGACAUGCUUUUUGUUCAAUAAAGAAUACAGGAAAAUCUGGCCUAUAUUUGUGAAAUAUGGAUUUGAU